rnacentral:rRNA from 1 species
AUGUCCGUUUGGAAAGCCUGGGCUCCUCCCAAGUGCAAGUUUUUUGCUUGGCUCGUCAUCCAAAAUCGUGUUUGGACUGCGGACAGGCUGCAGCGUCGGGGCUGGCCCAAUUGUGGGCUUUGCCCUUUAUGCAAGCAAGUUGCUGAAUCUGCAUCACACCUCCUAUUCCAAUGCAGAUUUUCCCAACGUGUUUGGGCUAAUGUGGCUUCAUGGAUCGGCAUAAACAGUGCUGUAGUUGCAGGCUGGCGUCACGAAAUUUUUGUAAAGGAAUAGUGGUUCAAGACUAUCCUAGAUAGGGGCCCCCCGAGGAAGGCUCUGGCCUCCAUGCUCAUGCUUGUUUCCUGGGAACUCUGGAAUGAGCGCAAUGCAAGAGUUUUUAGGAAUGUCGCUACCACGGUGACCAUGAUCACUGCUAGGAUAAAGGAGGAGGCUCGUAUUUGGGCGCUUGCAGGCGCUAGGCACCUCUGUAAUGUAAUGCCGCGAGAGUAG